rnacentral:rRNA from 1 species
GACGAGCCUCACAAACGUUAUUCGGAAUUACUGGGCUUAAAGGGUGCGUAGGCGGCGUAGAAAGUUGGGUGUGAAAUCCCUCAGCUUAACUGAGGAAGGGCGCCCAAAACUACUAUGCUCGAGGGAGAUAGAGGAGUGCGGAACUUAGGGUGGAGCGGUGAAAUGCGUUGAUAUCCUAAGGAACACCGGUGGCGAAAGCGGCUCACUGGAUCUUAUCUGACGCUGAGGCACGAAAGCCAGGGUAGCGAACGGG